rnacentral:rRNA from 1 species
AUACGGAGGAUCCGAGCGUUAUCCGGAUUUAUUGGGUUUAAAGGGUGCGCAGGCGGGAGAUUAAGUCGGCGGUGAAAUUUUGGAGCUCAACUGGAAAAGUGCCUUCGAAAACGGGUUUCUUGAGGGUCGAUGAAGUAGGCGGAAUUUGUGGUGUAGAGGGUGAAUGCAUAGAUAUCACGAGGAACUCCGAUUGCGCAGGCAGCUUACUAAACUACUACUGACGCUCAGGCACGAAGGCGUGGGGAUCAAACAGGAUUAGAUACCCUGGUAGUCCACGCAGUAAACGAUGAUUACUAGCUGUUUGCGAUACAAUGUAAGCGGCUGAGCGAAAGCGUUAAGUAAUCCACCUGGGGAGUACGUUCGCAAGAAUGAAACUCAAAUGAAUUGACGGGG